rnacentral:rRNA from 1 species
AACGAACGCUGGCGGCAUGCCUAACACAUGCAAGUCGAACGAGACCUUCGGGUCUAGUGGCGCACGGGUGCGUAACGCGUGGGAAUCUGCCCUUGGGUUCGGAAUAACAGUUAGAAAUGACUGCUAAUACCGGAUGAUGACUUCGGUCCAAAGAUUUAUCGCCCAAGGAUGAGCCCGCGUAGGAUUAGCUAGUUGGUAGGGUAAAGGCCUACCAAGGCGACGAUCCUUAGCUGGUCUGAGAGAUGAUCAGCCACACUGGGACUGAGACACGGCCCAGACUCCUACGGGAGGCAGCAGUGGGGAAUAUUGGACAAUGGGCGAAAGCCUGAUCCAGCAAUGCCGCGUGAGUGAUGAAGGCCCUAGGGUUGUAAGGCUCUUUUACCCGGGAUGAUAAUGACAGUACCGGGAGAAUAAGCCCCGGCUAACUCCGUGCCAGCAGCCGCAGUAAAAC